AAUAAACAAAACGAAAAUAAAUCAUCUUUUAGUGUCUAUUUUCAAAGCACCAUGUAUAUAAUUUAUCAUAAAAUUAAAUAAAUGUGUGUCUUUUUUUUAAAUUAAAGUUUUACAUGCAGCAGCACUGUAUAAGAGCAUCCAGAAACAACAAAAAAUUGUUUUUAAUUUAAUCAAAUACUUUCUGUUAAUACGUUUGUUCUGCAACAACCUCCUUAUUUGUGCAUUUUACUUCAGCUUUUAUGCAUUUUAAUAUUAAUCUGCAAAUAUUUUCCUUAAGAUUAAAUGUUUUUGAAAAUAAAAAAAAACAAAAAUGUGUUGCACAAAAUUGUAACACAUAAUAAAGAUUAUUGAUUCAUAGAUUGAUUGGAUGGAAACACAAACCUGCACGUUUUUAUUUAAUCCUCAGUUUAUACAGUUCCCAGUGGUCUUUUAAUUAAAUUUAUGCCUUUUUCAAUCGGCAGUAAUUCAUUAGAAAUUUAGCUUUUGAGUUGUGGGUGCGACUGUUUCAGCAAAGCAACCCCGCCCCCCUUCCCAUCACCUAUACAUGUUUUAACUGAUUCGUCACUCUGACAUAUUCAAUGAUUAAAAAGGUCAUUAAAGUUAAUAAUAAAGAAGGAAAUAAAAUGCAAGUCCACAAAUUUCCUUCAUUUUUUGAAGCUUUUUCAACCCCCUUUCAUUCACAAAGAGAAUCCCCUCGUUAACGCCAUCAAACCUGGAGGAGCUCCUCGCCUGUUUCUCUGUAAUGAGAGACCGGCGUUGGCUCCUGCCCAGCUCCUUCACACCACAGAUCUUCAUCUGCAGAGACUUGCAGUGACCUUGGCUCUAUAAGUUCUAAUAUUCCAGGAGAGGCACACCUGACAGAUACGUUUCACUUCCUCUGACACUCUGCAGGCAGCACUCUUGGAGGUAAUGAGCUCUAAAGUCUGAUCUGAAAACUGAUCUAACCUCUACACCAAGCUUCACCAACUCCUGCUUUUUUUUUUUUUCUGUACGUCAUGGAGACAGAACCUUGGGGCGGAAAGGCCAAACACGCAGCCCUGUAGCUAACCCAUCUUCAAACGGUGACUCAGCUCUCGACAUGAAAAGCUGUCAGAGGAUGCUAAAAUGGACAUUUCUUUAAGAUGUUUGCUCCUCUCCUCCGUGGCUCCUUUGCUGUACUUUUCUCCUCUCCAGGGCCUUCCCGCUGCACUCUGGAGCCACUGGCUUUGACAGCUGCACCUGUUGCUAAAUACUCA